UCCUCUCCCCCAGCCUGGGGCGGAGGCCCGAGGGCCUGAGCUGGGGGGGGGGGGGGAGGCCCGGGGGACAGGCUUUUAAUUAAUGCAUUUUAUUAUCUCUGGAGGAGAUUCGGGAUUUUGACUAGGAAGGAGGAUUUGGGGAAGGGGGGGUUCCCUUCCUCCUCCUCCUCCCGAAAUCGGGUUCCCCCGGGCCCACAGUGCCCGGGAGCAGCCAGCGUUUACCUUCGGCCUCCUACACUGUUUUAGAAACAAGAUGGACUGGAGGUGGGACCGCCUGACUUUGGGGUGGGUUUUAUUUUGGGGGUGUGUGUAUGUGUGUGUUUUAAGUCGCGGGAAGAGUGGGGAGCCUCGGCGCGGGAUCUCUUGGAGCAGCAAUCAAGGGAUACCCUCUCCUCCCCUCGAUCUCCCUCUCCUUCCUCCUCCUUGUCUACCCCUGCACCCCCUAGCCAUCUCGAAGCAUAGAACAGGAUUUCCAAAUUAGCAUUACGCUGCAAUCAUUGGGUUUUGCUGGAAGGAUGCAGACCGAUCUCGGCUUGGAGCUUUUCUCUUUCCUCCCCAUUUUCUCCCCGCACCCCUUGCUUUUGGAGGAAGGGCUUUCCGCGCCCCCACACACACCCCGUUUUUGUAAUUGUCCAGGGUUGUCAAAUCUAUCUCCCCAUACUUUGCCCAAACUCGAAUGAGUCGCUUUCUACAUUCAUUUUUUUCCCCUUUUAUUAAAGGUCCUGGGACUGGCGACGGCCAAUCAGCGAGCAGCUUCCAUUUGGUCGCUUCUACCCCCAAAGCACCCUGUGCUUCUCGGUUACACUAUUACAGGGAAGGGGGGAGGGAGCAAUGGGUGUUUUUUUUUUUCUCUCUUCCCCUCCUUCCUUCCUUCCUCGCUCCCUCCUUGCCUCCUCCUGGCUGAAGAAGAGGCUGCCUGUCUUGCUUCUGCUUCACGGUGGUUCGUCUCAUAUUGGGGGGUAUUUGGGGGGUUUGUAAUUGGGCCGUGGUGCGGUAAUUGGCUGAUUCAGGGCGCCAGGGCCCCUGGGCCAAUCAGCGCGAAGCUUCUAUGGGGCUUGAGUUAUUAGACGCGGAUCUCCUAACAUCCGUCAUCAGACAAGCCAAGGAGAGGCCAACAUUCAGGGAGCCAUUUUUCUGCCAUGGAAUUAAAUGGCCAAGUGGGUUUUCCUUUGUUCCAAAAGGGGGAACGCUUUUCCUUUGACUCCACCAUCCAGUGCAGGAUUGCCCCGUGUCUUGCCCAAUGUUGGUCACCAAUGCUAAAGGACCGAUGGAAGAAGGAAGACUGCAUUUUUUAAAAAUGAUUUUGGAUUUUGCUUUUUUUUUCCUCCUUAUGACCUGGAAUCCAUCUUUGUCUUGUAUAACUAGGUCAUAGCCCAUCAUUAAUGUCAGCAGUUUAAAAAUUUUGAAUCCAAAAAAGAUCUAAGUAAAUGACAUAUUUAUUUACUUUUUUCCUUUUUAUGGUUUUUGGCUGGGGGUGUGGGGAGGGGGGGUUGCGCUGUCUAAUCUGUAUCCUCUUGACUGAACAAUAAAUUUUUUUAAAUAUAUAUAAUUUCCUCUAUUAAACACUUAAACCUGGCCAUCUUUAUUAACUCCUCUCCUUCUCUCUUAACAAGGUAAUGUUUUAAAUGUAGAGUUUUAGGAAAGAAUUUAUUCUGGCUGUACUAAGCCAAGAAAAAAAUGUAAGCCAUUACUGCUGUUUUUCUUUUCAAUUCUGCUCUGUUGUAAGUACCCAAUCCAUUCUGUCCUUAAUUUAAGUGCAGUGUUCAUGUUAAUGUUGCCGAAUUGUUCUAAUUUCUGAGCCUUCGUCUAUCUGCAUGUCUGUUUUUGUUUCUCCUUGUUGGAUCUCAGAACCAAAUUCCUGCCUUUGGACUAGGAGAUAAGCUUUAGGCUUUAAGAAAUGUUUAUCUACAGUGAAUGCUAGCUAGCCUUAUUCCCAAUUAGCUGGUGGAUUUUCUUUAAGCAAGCUCUCUUUUGAGGGCGACGGCUCUGGUUUCUCCAGUCUUGGGGGGGUGGGGAGGGAAGAGAGAAGAAAGCCCCACUCUUCAGCAGAGACUGAACUGGUCACAGGAAACUAGACAGAAACCCCUUCAAGAAGCCCCAAGCAGUUGCAGCCCAACGACAUUAUUAAACUGGGCAGCCUUUUCUCUAGUGGUUGGGGUGACCCGGGUACGAAGUGGCUAACUCUUUCCUUUGUUCUCCCGUUUUGUUGGAAGCGUCUAUUUUUUGCCUUUUGUCUCUGAAAUGACUCUUAACACCCUUGCCCUAGCCAGCCCCACCGGCGAAGCCUGCCAGCCUUCGGCCGAACCCUGGGAAAGGUUUGCAGAAUUCGAAGGCGAUGAAAUGACAUGACACUGUAACUGACAAAAAGGUAGUGACCCCCCCCCCCCAUGAUCCAAACAAAACUCCAACAAAAUGGUGGGGUUUUUUCUUACAAUCACAUCACCAAACCAACGCCCAAGUUCACCUUCCAGACUCCAUUGCGCCAAGCUGAGCACCGGUAAGUAAGAACGUGCCUUUUCAAAGCCCUUGUAGCAGUCAGUACCGGCUAGAGCAGGCCCUGAGCUGCUGCAGAUUGUUCUGAGCCCAAGGACUGAGCCCGCCUGGGUUUCCUAGCUUGGUGUCGGUUGUAGCUGGCCAGGCGGGGCAGACAAUGUGGACAGAGGAGAGAAGCUAGACAGAUACACUUUGGGAUGGGAGGGGUUGGGGUCUUCGUGCCCAGGGGCUAUGUGCUUUUCUAUUUGCGACUGUGGGGGUGCUUGGGGUGACUGGGGCAUUCCCCCUUGGGCUUUUUCUGCGAGCCCCAAACCCUUGCCCACCCCCGCUGCUGGGGGGAGGACACUGCUGCUUCCCUCCAUCAGCGAGCCAGCCAGCCUGCUUGCCUGCCUCUCUCUCCCCACUGCCGUCCCCGAUCUCGCAGUUUUGAGGACAAGGGAGGAAAGCAGUGCUUUGGGUUGGGGCUUUAGCCGCCCUUCCAGGAGAGCCCAGUUUGCCAGACUUGGGGGGCUCUCCCUCCCGCUGGAAAUCCGUGCUGGGGGGCCCUUCUUCGGUCCUGGUCCGGGGAGCCAAGCGAGGCUGCCCCGACCCCUGGCCGGCUCGGGCGCUGAAAGAAAGGACAAGGGGACCGGCGUCCAUUUUGGCGCCAUGACGCAGCAGGCUUUCUUGCUCGGGCUGCUGCCGCCCUGCCUCGUUGUUCUUCUCAGCCCGGGCUGGGUUCCUCCUCCCUCCCGCCCCGCUGCGCUCGAGUUUUAUUUUCAGGUUCCGAGAGCGUGCCCAGGGCGGUUCGGGUGGGUGGGCGGGCGGGUUAGGGCCGGGGCUGACUGGCCCGGGCGCUUGCUAAAUGGCCGCCCCGAGCUCGCUUUCCCUGUCCUCUCUCUCUCUCUCCUGCUGCAGCUGCGAGUCCUGGAGCAGGAGGUGGCUUCGCUGCGAGGCCUGUCCACGCCUGGAUUGGCUCUGGGUAAAUCAGGCUUUUCGAGCUGGGCUGGGGGUUGAGGGUUGGGGGUUUGGGGGGUGCUUUUUCUUUUUUUCGUUCUUUUUGCCUAAGUCGAGGCUUGGUUUUUUCAUCCUCUCCCGAGCUCCUCUUCGGCAGGGUCGUCGGGGCAGGCGGGGCGAGCCCAGCCCUGGGAGCCGGCUCUCCCUGGGUCGUGUUAGCUAAGCCAGCAGGCUUGGGGGAAAGAAAAGGCAGGCGCCAUUUCGUGCGCUGGAAGCUGCUGCUUCGUGCUCGAGGAAGGGGGGCGGGGAGGGAGGGCGGUGGCUGCUGGGGGGGAGGGGAGGGCGGGCUGACUGUAAUCAGAGAGCCCGGGGCCCGGGCCAGCCACCGCCUCCUCCUCAGCCGCCGCCGCCUCCUCCUGCGAGCUUAGCGCUCCGGUGGGGGAGGGGAGCGCGGCUCUUAAAGCCGUAGGCAGCCACCCCUCCCCCAGCCGCAGACAAAGGGGAGGGGGAAGGAAGGCGGUGGGGGAGGGGUGACCCUGGGAGAUCCCUCGCCUCUGACGGUCUCCUCCUCCCUCUCGGAGCCUGUUCUGCCUCUCAGCUUCCUUGGGGACCCGGGAGACUGUUGUCCCAGUCUUUUACGAGGCCCCCAAGCCAGGGACCGUGGCCACUUGGCUCCGAAUGGAGUCAGGAUGCUCAGAAACUCGGGGCUCACUCGGAUUCCUGGGACCCAGCGAAGCAGGCGGAACCAGCCAGGGGUAAGAGUGAGUGCCCAGGGGCCGCCCGACCUUACGCUUCCCAGCCGCCACGUGCUAGAUUAUUGGAUCCUUUCGGCCCCCCCAUCAUAUCCGUUGUACCCCAACUUCUGGGUGGGGCCCACCGAGGCAGGCAGUAAGGGGGGGCUGGCCACUGGCUCGCCAAGAUCAAGACCUGCUUUCUCAUUUAUGGUGCCGGCUUUGGGGUCACCCCUCCCCAUCCCCUGCACGAAGGUGACCUCACCGGGAGGGGAACCCCAAGUUUUGCCCCAUCCACCGGCCAGCCUCUCCAGGACCUAGGGCAGCGGGCUGGCUCUCCCCUCCUCGGGUCCUCGGCCCCUGGGGCGGACUGGCGGUGGUUAUUUGUCUGGGGAGGGGGAGGCUGGGAAGCCCAUUAGUUAGAGCUGGACUCUGGGCUCCUUCGUGCUGCUUUCUCCACUGGAAGCCACUCGGUAAGUCCCUUUGCACCCGGAGCCCUUUUCUUCCCGUGUGGGUGGGGAGGAGGGCUGCAGCAGCCCUGGAAGCGAGCUUUAUAAAUGGCAGUGGUUUCCUGCCUCUCCUCGGGCUGCUCUUGCCCUGCACCCCGCCCUCCACUGACCCCUGCAUGCUGACUAAAGCCCAAGACCCUUCCUUGUGCCGAAAGCUCUGAGCCCCAGCCUGGGGACUCCACAAUAAAAACAGGAAAAACA